UAACUCGGAGGAACUCGCCGAGUCGACUCUGUCUACUAUCAGAUCUCGCAUUCCUAGGGUUCCUAAACCGCCUCCAAGACCAUCCACAUCCAACGGCGAGAACAAGGCCACAACAGAACAAGCGGUUACAUUUCCACCACCUCCGCCACCUCCAACGAGCCAGGCGAAGUCGGUACCUCCACCGCCACCUCCGCCGUCAAGAGCGGCUCCGCCUCCGCCUCCCCCGCCUCCUAAAGGGAGAAGGCCGGCCCCUGCGAAGGUGAGGCGAGUGCCGGAGGUUGUGGAGUUUUACCACUCUCUGAUGAGAAGAGACUCUCGCAGAGACUCCGGCAGUG
rnacentral:lncRNA from 1 species